rnacentral:rRNA from 1 species
CAGCAGCCGCGGUAAUACGAAGGGUGCAAGCGUUAAUCGGAAUUACUGGGCGUAAAGCGUGCGUAGGCGGUUUGUUAAGUCUGCUGUGAAAUCCCCGGGCUCAACCUGGGAAUGGCAGUGGAUACUGGCAAGCUAGAGUGUGUCAGAGGAUGGUGGAAUUCCCGGUGUAGCGGUGAAAUGCGUAGAGAUCGGGAGGAACAUCAGUGGCGAAGGCGGCCAUCUGGGACAACACUGACGCUGAGGCACAAAAGCGUGGGGAGCAAACAGGAUUAGAUACCCGCGUAGUCCCUGUCUCUUAUAC